rnacentral:rRNA from 1 species
UACGGGGGGGAGCAAGCGUUGUUCGGAUUUACUGGGCGUAAAGGGCGCGUAGGCGGUCAGCACAAGUCAGUUGUGAAAUCUCCGGGCUUAACCCGGAAAGGUCAACUGAUACUGUGCGACUAGAGUGCGGAAGGGGCAAUCGGAAUUCCCGGUGUAGCGGUGAAAUGCGCAGAUAUCGGGAGGAACACCAGUGGCGAAGGCGGCACUCUGGGCCGGAACUGACGCUGAGGAGCGAAAGCGUGGGGAGCGAACAGG